UACGGGGGGGGCAAGCGUUGUUCGGAAUUACUGGGCGUAAAGGGUUCGUAGGUGGCCAACUAAGUCAGACGUGAAAUCCCUCAGCUUAACCGGGGAACUGCGUCUGAUACUGGAUGGCUUGAAUCCGGGAGAGGGAUGCGGAAUUCCUGGUGGAGCGGUGAAAUGCGCAGAUAUCAGGAGGAACACCCGUAGCGAAGGCGGCACUCUGGGCCGGAACUGACGCUGAGGAGCGAAAGCGUGGGGAGCGAACAGG
rnacentral:rRNA from 1 species